GGCUGGUUAGCUCAGCUGGUCAGAGUAGGGUACUUAUAAUGCUCAGGUCAUGGGUUCAAUCCCCACACUGGCCA